CGUGAGGUGUUGGGUUAAGUCCCGCAACGAGCGCAACCCUUACCAUUAGUUGCCACCGGAGCAAUCCGAGCACUCUAAUGGAACUGCCUACGCAAGUAGUGAGGAAGGUGAGGAUGACGUCAAGUCCGCAUGGCCCUUACGCCUAGGGCUACACACGUGCUACAAUGGCCGCCACAACGGGCAGCAAAAUCGCGAGAUGGAGCCAAUCCCUAAAAAGCGGCCUCAGUUCGGAUUGGAGUCUGCAACUCGACUCCA
rnacentral:rRNA from 1 species